GCCGGGCAUGGUGGCUCAUGCCUGUAAUCCCAGCACUUUCGGAGGCCGAGGCGGGCGGAUCACCUGAGGUCAGGAGUUCAAGACCAGCCUGGCCAACAUGGUGAAACCCGUCUCUA
ensembl:misc_RNA Metazoa_SRP Metazoan signal recognition particle RNA